rnacentral:rRNA from 1 species
GAUGAACGCUGGCGGCGUGCCUAAUACAUGCAAGUCGAGCGAACGGACGAGAAGCUUGCUUCUCUGAUGUUAGCGGCGGACGGGUGAGUAACACGUGGAUAACCUACCUAUAAGACUGGGAUAACUUCGGGAAACCGGAUCUAAUACCGGAUAAUAGUGUGAACCGCAUGGUUCAAAAGUGAAAGACGGUCUUGCUGUCACUUAUAGAUGGAUCCUCGCUGCAUUAGCUAGUUGGUAAGGUAACGGCUUACCAAGGCAACGAUGCAUAGCCGACCUGAGAGGGUGAUCAGCCACACUGGAACUGAGACACGGUCCAGACUCCUACGGGAGGCAGCAGUAGGGAAUCUUCCGCAAUGGGCGAAAGCCUGACGGAGCAACGCCGCGUGAGUGAUGAAGGUCUUCGGAUCGUAAAACUCUGUUAUUAGGGAAGAACAUAUGUGUAAGUAACUGUGCACAUCUUGACGGUACCUAAUCAGAAAGCCACGGCUAACUACGUG